CGGCUAACUACGUGCCAGCAGCCGCGGUAAUACGUAGGUCCCGAGCGUUAUCCGGAAUUAUUAGGGCGUAAAGGGCACGUAGGCGGACAAAUAAGUUUGAUGUCAAAUAUGAUGGCUCAACCAUCAAGAGGCGUUGAAAACUGUUUAUCUAGAAUCUCGGAGAGGUAAGUGGAAUUCCAUGUGUAGCGGUGGAAUGCGUAGAUAUAUGGAGGAACACCAAUGGCGAAGGCAGCUUACUGGACGAAGAUUGACGCUGAGGUGCGAAAGCGUGGGGUAGCAAACAGGAUUAGAUACCCCUGGUAG
rnacentral:rRNA from 1 species